rnacentral:rRNA from 1 species
UUCCGGUUGAUCCUGCCGGAGGUCAUUGCUAUUGGAGUCCGAUUUAGCCAUGCUAGUCGUACGAAUUUAGAUUCGUGGCGAAUAGCUCAGUAACACGUGGCCAAACUACCCACUGGAGCGCGAUACCCUCGGGAAACUGAGGCUAAUAGCGCAUACAGCUCGAUGCCUGGAACUGGCUCGAGCCUGAAAUGCUCCGGCGCCAGUGGAUGUGGCUGCGGCCGAUUAGGUAGACGGUGGGGUAACGGCCCACCGUGCCGAUAAUCGGUACGGGUCAUGAGAGUGAGAGCCCGGAGACGGAAUCUGAGACAAGAUUCCGGGCCCUACGGGGCGCAGCAGGCGCGAAACCUUUACACUGCACGCCAGUGCGAUAAGGGGACUCCAAGUGCGAGGGCAUAUCGUCCUCGCUUUUUCCUACCGUAAGGUGGUAGGCGAAUAAGAGCUGGGCAAGACCGGUGCCAGCCGCCGCGGUAAUACCGGCAGCUCGAGUGAUGACCGCUAUUAUUGGGCCUAAAGCGUCCGUAGCCGGCCAGACAAGUCUAUCGGGAAAUCUCCCCGCUUAACGGGGAGGCGUCCGGUGGAAACUGUUUGGCUUGGGACCGGAAGACCAGAGGGGUACGUCUGGGGUAGGAGUGAAAUCCCGUAAUCCUGGACGGACCACCGGUGGCGAAAGCGCCUCUGGAAGACGGAUCCGACGGUGAGGGACGAAAGCUCGGGUCACGAACCGGAUUAGAUACCCGGGUAGUCCGAGCCGUAAACGAUGUCUGCUAGGUGUGCCACAGGCUACGAGCCUGUGGUGUGCCGUAGGGAAGCCGUGAAGCAGACCGCCUGGGAAGUACGUCCGCAAGGAUGAAACUUAAAGGAAUUGGCGGGGGAGCACAA